rnacentral:lncRNA from 1 species
AAGUUGUUCAUUGGCAUCCAUCCAACUUAGCGAACCACUUCGAGCACUCUUAUUGCAUGCAUUAGCACCAUUUGUUGUUUUGGUGGUCUCGACAAUAGCCUGAUAGCAAAGAAGUAAUAACCAAAUAAACAAGCUAGCACUAUAGUUUGAACAAAAUUUGUAUGUGAUUAUGAAAAGAUACAAGCUUGUUUGGAACAGAAUAUUUUUGUCCCUGACAUGCACUAACAUUCUCAAGCAAAGUUUCUCUGUUUUGAAUAGGAUUCUGAUAGCAAGACAACCAGUAGAUACGCAACCAUUGGAGCAACAAAUUUUGAACAUAUUGUAUAUCGUAAUAGAAAUAUAUCUUUGUGCUGUAGAAUAUAUUUCCCCUUGCCGUGCACUGAAAUUCUUGUCCAUGACAUAUCUUCUGCAACAUGAUAAUGACCAUGUAAUAGACAAUAUUCCAUGAUCCUACUUGACCUUAAGAUAGUCUUUGCCACAGAUGUGAACACGAUUAAUUAAGAUUUCAGCUCAAGCAAUCAUAUUUUGAAGUAAUUUCUGCCCCUACAAUCAACAACAAUAACUCUGACCACAUUUACUCCUUAUCAAAUCAAAAUAGCAACUUAUUCAGUUCUAAGUAGGUACUAGGAAUACAUCAAGCAAUUCCUAUUUCAUAGUGAAAACGAUUAACUAAGACAUGAAACCGUUACUCUGAAAUGUAGUCUACUAUUCUGUUCAGAGUGUGUAUAAGAAAAGCAGCAAGUAACAAAAGAAAACUUCAUAUAGCAGCUCUUUCGAUGACCCCAUGUUUUUUUAGGAUUUUUCUUAGCUAGGAACAUUACUAUGAAUAAAGUGCAAUUGUCUUUCAAUACUAGUAGCUUAACUGUCAAUCUGUUUCAGUUGCUUAGAGAAGAUGAACUUGUACUUGUGUGCUAUGGUGCUUAACUUGGUGUUUGCUAGGGGGGAACAGAAGUUCAGGUAUAACACUAUCCACGGAUAGUAAGAGGACCAUAAGGUUAAGGAGGUUUCGUUCAUGCACAAGCAUUAUGGCUAGGCUGAUGAUAUGUUAUUUUCAAGUUGGAAUUGUGAGGAGAUCCCAUGGGCCAUGGCUGAGUGUGUUGCAGAGUAUACAUGUGUUUUCACUAUCGUGCACAUGGUUGUUCACUAACAUUUAUUUUUAGAACAAGUGUGUUGUUGUGUAGACUGGAUUGUAGUUGUGCUGCUGCAGAUCAUGUUCUGAUAUUCAUAGUAAAAUUAAUGUUUUAUUAGGUCAUGACUAGUCGACAAGAUACUUAGUGCAACUUGUCCAUAGGUACGACAAGGAUAACACUUUCUUCUAGUCACUCCAUCGUUUAUUUUCUACAAACGACACCCGGUCAGAUUAAAGUAUAAUAGCAAUAAGAAAAUAACAAGAUCACAAACGUCUGCAAACACAUGAAGAAGAAAAGAAACUAUGCUAGGUGUUCAACCGCAAAAUGUUAGGCAAGAACUAACCCAACUAUACUACCCAACUAGAAUAGGAUAGUCAGAAUUGGAGUUCCAUAAAGGUCUAUGAAGAAUUUGAACUCACCAACACCAAGGUAGUAAUGGUGCAGAACUAGAUUAAAAUAUUGUACGCAUCCACACCUGACACCCUAACAGUUACCAGAUUUAAGCCACCUCUUAUGUCCAGUAAACCUACGAACACCAAAACAAACAAGCGUCAGGGCACUAUAAUGAAUAAAACCUAAUAAGCUAAUGUCAAUCGAGUAGGGAAGGUGUAACCUUAUAGAAAAAGAAUCAGGAAACAACCCCCUCUAUCUGAAGGCCCCAAAAAUUUUAAACCAAUAACAGAGGACAACUAUCAAACACUUGGUGUGCACUAUCAAAUUCACACAAGAGGAGAGUAAUUAGAAGCCAUAGAAGGGACAGAUCUGAACCAAAGGGGGAGGAGGCAAAAUCUUCAAGUCGUACUAGUAUUUACCUUCUGUUUUCAUGAAUCGGGGGUGGUGAUUGAUCUGCUCUCCGUCCCAGUUGCUGAACAAGACAUGCCUCUUGUGCCCUCAACAUCAAUGAAUCGGCUGGGUCAGCUAUGAGGUUCAGGAGGGAAGGCAGGCCAUGAUCGAUCUUCUCAAGAUAAGAUCCUACGAAACGAGGAAGGGAACUGGGGGAUGGGGGAGGUUUCCGAUUUUGAUGGCGCAGUUAUCUCCUCGCGAGACCUGAAUUUGG